rnacentral:rRNA from 1 species
UACGAAGGGGGCUAGCGUUGCUCGGAAUCACUGGGCGUAAAGCGCACGUAGGCGGACUUUUAAGUCAGGGGUGAAAGCCUGAGGCUCAACCUCAGAACUGCCCUUGAUACUGGGAGUCUUGAGUAUGGUAGAGGUUGGUGGAACAGCAAGUGUAGAGGUGAAAUUCGUAGAUAUUUGCUAGAACACCAGUGGCGAAGGCGGCCAACUGGACCAUAACUGACGCUGAGGUGCGAAAGCGUGGGGAGCAAACAGG